GGAGGAGUGGCCGAGUGGCCGAAGGCGCGGCUCUCGAAAAGCCGUAGGGCAGAAAUGUCCUCGUGAGUUCGAAUCUCACCUCCUCCGCCA
rnacentral:tRNA from 1 species